rnacentral:rRNA from 1 species
ACACAAAAAUGCACAUGCUGUGAGCUCGAUGAGUAGGGCGGGACACGUGGUAUCCUGUCUGAAUAUGGGGGGACCAUCCUCCAAGGCUAAAUACUCCUGACUGACCGAUAGUGAACCAGUACCGUGAGGGAAAGGCGAAAAGAACCCCGGCGAGGGGAGUGAAAAAGAACCUGAAACCGUGUACGUACAAGCAGUGGGAGCACAGAGCAAUCUGUGUGACUGCGUACCUUUUGUAUAAUGGGUCAGCGACUUAUAUUCUGUAGCAAGGUUAACCGAAUAGGGGAGCCGAAGGGAAACCGAGUCUUAACUGGGCGUUAAGUUGCAGGGUAUAGACCCGAAACCCGGUGAUCUAGCCAUGGGCAGGUUGAAGGUUGGGUAACACUAACUGGAGGACCGAACCGACUAAUGUUGAAAAAUUAGCGGAUGACUUGUGGCUGGGGGUGAAAGGCCAAUCAAACCGGGAGAUAGCUGGUUCUCCCCGAAAGCUAUUUAGGUAGCGCCUCGUGAAUUCAUCUCCGGGGGUAGAGCACUGUUUCGGCAAGGGGGUCAUCCCGACUUACCAACCCGAUGCAAACUGCGAAUACCGGAGAAUGUUAUCACGGGAGACACACGGCGGGUGCUAACGUCCGUCGUGAAGAGGGAAACAACCCAGACCGCCAGCUAAGGUCCCAAAGUCAUGGUUAAGUGGGAAACGAUGUGGGAAGGCCCAGACAGCCAGGAUGUUGGCUUAGAAGCAGCCAUCAUUUAAAGAAAGCGUAAUAGCUCACUGGUCGAGUCGGCCUGCGCGGAAGAUGUAACGGGGCUAAACCAUGCACCGAAGCUGCGGCAGCGACACUGUGUGUUGUUGGGUAGGGGAGCGUUCUGUAAGCCUGUGAAGGUGUGCUGUGAGGCAUGCUGGAGGUAUCAGAAGUGCGAAUGCUGACAUAAGUAACGAUAAAGCGGGUGAAAAGCCCGCUCGCCGGAAGACCAAGGGUUCCUGUCCAACGUUAAUCGGGGCAGGGUGAGUCGACCCCUAAGGCGAGGCCGAAAGGCGUAGUCGAUGGGAAACAGGUUAAUAUUCCUGUACUUGGUGUUACUGCGAAGGGGGGACGGAGAAGGCUAUGUUGGCCGGGCGACGGUUGUCCCGGUUUAAGCGUGUAGGCUGGUUUUCCAGGCAAAUCCGGAAAAUCAAGGCUGAGGCGUGAUGACGAGGCACUACGGUGCUGAAGCAACAAAUGCCCUGCUUCCAGGAAAAGCCUCUAAGCAUCAGGUAACAUCAAAUCGUACCCCAAACCGACACAGGUGGUCAGGUAGAGAAUACCAAGGCGCUUGAGAGAACUCGGGUGAAGGAACUAGGCAAAAUGGUGCCGUAACUUCGGGAGAAGGCACGCUGAUAUGUAGGUGAAGUCCCUCGCGGAUGGAGCUGAAAUCAGUCGAAGAUACCAGCUGGCUGCAACUGUUUAUUAAAAACACAGCACUGUGCAAACACGAAAGUGGACGUAUACGGUGUGACGCCUGCCCGGUGCCGGAAGGUUAAUUGAUGGGGUCAGCGCAAGCGAAGCUCUUGAUCGAAGCCCCGGUAAACGGCGGCCGUAACUAUAACGGUCCUAAGGUAGCGAAAUUCCUUGUCGGGUAAGUUCCGACCUGCACGAAUGGCGUAAUGAUGGCCAGGCUGUCUCCACCCGAGACUCAGUGAAAUUGAACUCGCUGUGAAGAUGCAGUGUACCCGCGGCAAGACGGAAAGACCCCGUGAACCUUUACUAUAGCUUGACACUGAACAUUGAGCCUUGAUGUGUAGGAUAGGUGGGAGGCUUUGAAGUG